rnacentral:rRNA from 1 species
GAUGAACGCUGGCGGCGUGCCUAAUACAUGCAAGUCGAGCGAACGGACGAGAAGCUUGCUUCUCUGAUGUUAGCGGCGGACGGGUGAGUAACACGUGGAUAACCUACCUAUAAGACUGGGAUAACUUCGGGAAACCGUAGCUAAUACCCGAUAAUAUUUUGAACCGCAUGGUUCAAAAGUGAAAGACGGUCUUGCUGUCACUUAUAGAUGGAUCCGCGCUGCAUUAGCUAGUUGGUAAGGUAACGGCUUACCAAGGCAACGAUGCAUAGCCGACCUGAGAGGGUGAUCGGCCACACUGGAACUGAGACACGGUCCAGACUCCUACGGGAGGCAGCAGUAGGGAAUCUUCCGCAAUGGGCGAAAGCCUGACGGAGCAACGCCGCGUGAGUGAUGAAGGUCUUCGGAUCGUAAAACUCUGUUAUUAGGGAAGAACAUAUGUGUAAGUAACUGUGCACAUCUUGACGGUACCUAAUCAGAAAGCCACGGCUAACUACGUG